CAUCAGAGCAGAGAGAAGCUGUGGACAUUCACAAGAUGGUGAAGAUGCAGUGGAGUCUGUUUGUGUUCAUUGUGAUGGGUCAGUGUUCCUCCAUUGGGGGUCACCUGUAUGACUACCACUUCAUUGGAGAGAAUAUGACCUGGAAUGAAGCCCAGGAGUUUUGCAGAAAGAACCACACUGACC